rnacentral:rRNA from 1 species
AGCGAACGCUGGCGGCAGGCCUAACACAUGCAAGUCGAACGAAGUCUUCGGACUUAGUGGCGGACGGGUGAGUAACACGUGGGAACGUGCCUUUAGGUUCGGAAUAACUCAGGGAAACUUGUGCUAAUACCGAAUGUGCCCUUCGGGGGAAAGAUUUAUCGCCUUUAGAGCGGCCCGCGUCUGAUUAGCUAGUUGGUGAGGUAAAGGCUCACCAAGGCUACGAUCAGUAGCCGGUCUGAGAGGAUGACCAGCCACAUUGGGACUGAGACACGGCCCAAACUCCUACGGGAGGCAGCAGUGGGGAAUCUUGCGCAAUGGGCGAAAGCCUGACGCAGCCAUGCCGCGUGGAUGGUGAAGGUCUUAGGAUUGUAAAAUCCUUUCACCGGUGAAGAUAAUGACUGUAGCCGGAGAAGAAGCCCCGGCUAACUUCGUGCCAGCAGCCGCUGUAAUAC